rnacentral:snRNA from 1 species
GGAUGUGAGGGCGAUCUGGCUGCAACACCUGUCACCCCAAUGAUUGCCAGAGGUGAUUCUACUGGUCUGGCUGGCUAGGUGGAUGUCCCCUUCCUCCCUCCCGAAGCUGCACACCCAGUUGAAAAGGACAACCAUCCCUGAUAGAGGAGGACCGUUCUUCGGUCAAGGGCUUAUCAGUAGCUACAUGUCCCUGCUAGAACCUCCAAACAAGCUCUUAAGGAAAACAGGCAAAAAAAAAAAAAAAAGAAUAAGCAAUUCACUGAGAAGUGCAG